ACAGACUUAGUCCUAACCUUACAGUUAAUUCUUGCCGAACAUAUACAUGCAAGUAUCCGCGCUCCAGUGAAAAUGCCCACAACUCCUGCCCUAAAACAGGAAAGAGGAGCAGACAUCAGGCACACUUUAAUGCGUAGCCCAAAACGUCUUGCUCUGCCACACCCUCACGGGUAAUCAGCAGUAAUUAACAUUAAGCAAUAAGUGUAAACUUGACUUAGUUACGGCAGCCCACAGGGCUGGUAAAUCUUGUGCCAGCCACCGCGGUCAUACAAGAAGCCCAAAUUAACUGUCAUCGGCGUAAAGAGUGGUAGCACACUAUUAUCCAACUAAGACCGAAACGCAACCGAGCUGUCAUAAGCCCACGAUGCACCUAAGGCCCCCCUCAAAACGAUCUUAGUAUCUAUGAUCAAUUGAACACCACGAAAGCCAAGACACAAACUGGGAUUAGAUACCCCACUAUGCUUGGCCCUAAAUCCAGGUACUUACCGCACUAAAGUAUCCGCCCGAGAACUACGAGCACAAACGCUUAAAACUCUAAGGACUUGGCGGUGCCCCAAAUCCACCUAGAGGAGCCUGUUCUGUAAUCGAUAAUCCACGAUAUACCCGACCCCUUCUUGCCCACAGCAGCCUACAUACCGCCGUCCCCAGCUCACCUCCCCUGAGAGCCCCAGCAGUGAGCACAACAGCACUCCCCUAAUAAGACAGGUCAAGGUAUAGCUUAUGGAGGGGAAGAAAUGGGCUACAUUUUCUAAAAUAGAAAACCCACGGAAAGAAGCCUGAAAGAGCUUCCAGAAGGAGGAUUUAGCAGUAAAGAAGGGUAAGAACACCUUCUUGAAGCCCGGCCCUGGGGUACGUACAUACCGCCCGUCACCCUCUUCACAGCCAACAAACACUAGUAACUAACAAACACAACAAGGUAAAAGAUGAGGUAAGUCGUAACAAGGUAAGUGUACCGGAAGGUGUACUUAGCAU
rnacentral:ncRNA from 1 species